rnacentral:lncRNA from 1 species
UACCACCUUACCCGACCUAUAAACCCGAGCUGCCGUCACCGUCCAUCUUUUUCCCCAUCCGCAAGCACAGAGUAGAGCAGAGCCACCUCGCGCUCGAUUCCGGGAGCCUUGCUGCAUCUUGAUCCAAUUCCUCGCGCCCACAGAUCCUCCACAACCCAAUACACACCCCACACCCCUCCUUUUUGCGGCUAAGCGCCGGCCAAGUCGAUCUCGUCGUUGUUUCCGUCCGUCGGCCGCCAUAGACACCCUCACGGUGAGCACCUUGUUUUUGUUCUUAUCCGUAUGAGAUGUUGGCCCAGAUAGCUUGUGUAGCGACUUCGGAAGCUAUAGUGCAAGCUUGUUGCCGUAGAGACCGGCCGGAGUGCCAUUGUCGUCAUCAUCCGCGUCGGCAAGUCAUGGCAGUGUCCACCGCCGUAGUCGCACGCCCUUCUCCUGUCCACCAGCUUCGUCAAGAACACCACCAGAGGAUGCGCAAGGACCUAGGUAACACAGCCGGUUAGCCCCCGGCACCGGAAACCUCGCCGCCGGCGAGCUAGCGCCGCUACCCGCCGGGGGUACCCGCGAUCAAGGCGGGCAACUGUGCCUUGACCCGGGGGCCCGCUUGUCAGUGGCCGUGGGUAGGUGGAGCGCGGGUGAGAAAAGAGAGUUCCGACGGGUUUUGGGGAAAAAUAGAUUUAGGUGUUUUAGAUAUUAGUUUUAAAUCCAGUUCUCAUAUUUAAUUCACCAAAAUUUGUAGAAUUGUCAAAAAUAGUGAAACAAAUUUUGUUAGGUUUGUUUCAUUUUCCUUUAUGCAUUAAAAUUCUUAAACCUUAGGAGAAGAUAUAAAAAAUUAGGUAUUUAUUUAGUACGUUUAUUUAAGGUAUUUAAAUAAAUACUUAACCUUUAUAAAAUGUAUAAAAUUUGUAAUAAUGUUUUAUUAUUCAAAAAUGCUUAUUAAUCCAUAGGAAUUAGGUUUUGAGAUUAGAAAUUAUUUAUAAUACUUUUCUAAAUAAAAGAAAAGGUUUAAUUUAGGUUAGUUAUGAAAAUUAAUUUGUGGGUUAAUCUUUUGGGUAGAUUAGUGUUGGCUUGCAACUUGUAUAGUCGUAUUCUAAUUGUGCCUUGCAUCAUAUCAUAGAACCUGAAGCUCCUGAAGUGGAUUUUGUGAAAUUAUCUGAAAGUUUAAGGAAGGUGUUGAAGUUGCUCCUUUUAUUAACACUUUUAUACCCCAGGCAAGCCCUGAAGCAUCUAUACCUAUCUAUUUUCAGAAAUUACUAUUCAUGUGUUCAAAUUAUUGGUUAUUUCCCUAUUUAUGCAUUAGGUCUAGAAGUGGAUUGAAACCUUACUUUCAUGCACAAUCCGACAAUCCGACCUUGUUUGUUAAGGACAUCUUUACCGCCUGUUCAAAAUAGCUUGCUCAAAAUAAUUAGUAAUUGUCCCAUUCUUAGCAAAGUGUAAUCAUGCUAUUCCAAUCUUUUUAGUACAUCUGGUGCUCAGCAACCUAAGGUAACAUUGUUCAUAUAUAUUUUAUCUGAGCACCCUAAGGUAACAGUGUUCAUAUAUGUUUUAUGUCAAGGAAAUGGCCUGUUUUGAAAAUAGUGGACGGAAGCUUGGAUGGAAUCAAGAAAGGAGACUUGAGCUCCGUAGUUCCGUCUACUCGGUUAAUGAAUUAAGGCCCGUUCGUUGUCUUAACCAGUGAUCAAGUGAUUUUACCUAGUUGCUUACUGUUUAUGGGACCAGUAAAGUCCGGUAGGUUAGUUGGCUCUCUGAUUGGAAAUAUUCUUACCUGUGCUUGAUGUGCUGGAGAAUGGCAGGGGCGUAGUCUGAAACUCACAUGGAGAUCAGGCCAGAUGUGGGGUCCCAUGUGGGGGUGGGUCCCUGGAUUCGGGUAAUUAUAAUUCCGAUCUUUGGGUACGGCUAAUUGAAAGGUCGUUAUGCGCAACUCGCGCAGUUGUGCAUGGCUGGUGAUUAGGUAUUUCCUGUAGGAUGUAAAUCGGUAUGGAUCGUUGCAAUUGUCGAUUAUGAGUGCACUUGAUCAUCACUUAAGCAUCGUAGAGUAAUCAAAUUGAAUAUAAUGUUUUCCUUGAAUUAUUAAUAUUGUAUGAUGUUUAGUUCCACUUGAUUGAUCAAAAUGUUUUAUUCACCUAACCAGGUAAGAACUAAUUAGUUUUAAAAUAAUAAAACUAACGUUCCACAAGUAGUAAGUUUUUCACAAAAAUGUUGAGUCAGCCAGUACACUAAAAAGGCUAUCAUGCUCGUAAGCAAAGUGGACACAUGAUAAACAAAUGGGUGCACUGCUGACAUACAGGUUUGAUUCAGGUCAAAGACAGUUUGCCAUUUCGUUCUGAAUGUGCACUCUUAGUUUAUGCAGAUCAUAUCUGGCAUCACUGACACUGGGAAUUGAAAAUCUAAUAUAGUUACACAUUUUAUCGAAUUAUUAGCAGAGAAGAUGCUAUGACUCAAAAGUCUUCAUCUAUUGGUUACCCAUUGGCGUAGCGUGGAAACAUAAUUGUUACUGAUGGGAACUAACUUCGCCUAUGGUGUGCCCCCCUUCUCCAUAAACUGCAUAGUAGUACGAUACUGUAAAGCUUAAUGAAACACAGGGUUGUCCUUAUUAGAAUAGGCUACAAAUUAACGGAGUAAUUGACAGACUAUUGCAAGUCACAUAUUGAUAGUUAUGCAUAUCUACAACUAUAGUUCAUAUCUUUGCAAGAAUCUAUAGUUCAUAUCUUUGCAAGAAUGCUAAGGACCAUAAAAGUUUAGUAUAGAACAGUUUCUUACAGUUACAGAUGCUAGAACAUUUUGUGUCAUCCAAAUUUGCAGUACCAGGAAGGGGGAAUCCAUGAGUAGCCUCCAGGGGCAGUAAAAUGUGACUGAAAGGAAUGUUGUACAUGCUGAUCUAGCAGCGGCACAAACGUCCCCAAAGCAAUCGCUUUUGUUUGUAGCCGCGGCACAGCUCAUCCCUGCAAUCUGUCCUCGCCUGGCACCUGGCACCGCUCCUUGGUGAGUCACAAAUCCAUGGCAACUUGUAAUAGCAAGAACAUGGAUUCAUGAAGAAUCUUUGCUGCAAACAGAAAAUGGACGGAACAGACUUGAUAUUAGAUGUCCUUGCGCAUCAGUUGCUACAUUCUAAAACUGAAAAAACUAACUAUUCAGUGACCAGCUUACGUUGGACGCAUUUCCUCGAGCACCUUCUGGGCGUCGUCCAUAUCGACAGCCACUCCAGCUGCUGGGGCACUGGCCGGCGAGCUCUGCACCAUGGGAGGUCGCACGGGUGUGCGAGGGAGAUGCCCACGCUUGCAUGUCCCAUG